UACGUAGGGUGCGAGCGUUGUCCGGAAUUAUUGGGCGUAAAGAGCUCGUAGGCGGUGUGUCGCGUCGGCCGUGAAAACCUGCAGCUUAACUGUGGGCUUGCGGUCGAUACGGGCAUCACUGGAGUUCGGCAGGGGAGACUGGAAUUCCUGGUGUAGCGGUGAAAUGCGCAGAUAUCAGGAGGAACACCGGUGGCGAAGGCGGGUCGCUGGGCCGAUACUGACGCUGAGGAGCGAAAGCGUGGGGAGCAAACAGG
rnacentral:rRNA from 1 species